AUGGCUGCCCCGGGGCCGGCCCGGCUCCUCCGGGCCGCCGCCGCCGCUUCCUCCCGCCGCUGGCUCUUCUCCGCCUCGCCGGCAGCCGGGACGAGGCCGGGCUGUGGCAGCGCUGCCGUGAGGGCAGCCCGGCUGUUCAGCCUCUCUGCCCGGGCGGUGCUCAGCUCAGAAGAUAAAAUAACUGUUCAUUUCAUAAAUCGUGAUGGUGACAAACUAACAGCCAAAGGAAAACCUGGGGAUUCACUACUGGAUGUUGUUGUUGAUAAUAAUCUAGACAUAGAUGGUUUUGGUGCAUGUGAAGGAACGCUAGCCUGUUCAACUUGUCAUUUAAUCUUUGAAGACCACAUAUUUGAGAAACUAGAUGCAAUUACUGAUGAAGAGAUGGACAUGCUGGACCUGGCAUAUGGCCUCACAGAAACAUCACGUUUAGGCUGCCAAAUCUGCUUGAAGAAAUCGAUGGAUGAUAUGACUGUUCGAGUACCAGAAGCUGUUGCCGAUGCUAGACAAUCAGUAGAUAUGAGUAAAAACUCCUAAAAGAAAAUAUCUUAGGGGUUUUAAAGAAGCUUAACUAUUUUUAUAACUUAUUUUUAAAUGUGUAAUUAAAUAUGGAAACUUACAUAAUUGUGAGUUAUUUUAUAUGACUAUCAGUAUUAGAUUAAUGCUAUUUUAAUUUUCUUUAUAGAACCUCCUAUAUUUUUAAGCUUAAAAUGCAAUAAUACUUCUUACAAGUGAUCAUUGGAUUAUAAACGUUAGCAAGUGUAUUACAGAUUUCAUAUAACAAUAUUCUGCCAAAACCUUUAAUGACGUUUGAAAACUGGAUCACUUCUACAAGACUUCUCCUAAAAACCCCUGGGCAUUUCUAGGUUUCAGACCUGGAUAUGUAAGAGAACAAAACUUGUAAGACUGCAUGGGGUCUUUUUAAAGCGUUGUCAUUAAAGACAGUAUGCUCAGAGCUAAUUCACGUUCUCAGUAAAUAUGAUACUUCCUCAGCAAAUAGUGGAUUUUCAGGGCAGGGUUUUUCCAAACUUUGGAAUCUUAAUGAGAUGUGGCAAAUUUUGUCUUGUAAAAAUACUGUUAAAACAAUGAAAUGUAGGGGCUGAUACAGAAUGUUGGCACCUGCAGCUUAAUUGCUGCAGUGCAUCUCUGUUGCCCAAAUCAGAAGUCAAUAAACCUCAACUGUAUUUACGUUUGACUACACCACAAAUAUGGGGAUACACAUGGCUUAGAGUAAAGCCUUGGAGCUGUCUAAUGGGAGAGCAUAACCACUGGAGGUAACUGUAGAUUCUUGAUGUUCUCUGAAGAUGGCCGAGUUGGGAUUGAAGAGGGCAAUGUUUGUCAACAUAAGAUUUGUUCUGAAAUCUUUAUCCCUUUUUCUGUUUUGAGCUUGUUCAGGAGACAGUCUGAUGUUAGCUAGGGCAUUCAGCUUAAAGAGAUUCCUAGAUUAUGGGCCUUACUCUCGGGAUCAUUUCAAUAAUGGUUGAUGUGAAAUGACCAAGCAUAUUUAUUCCAUAAGGUGGACUAGGUUCCCUGGAAGGGGUAGGGAGACCCCCAUGGUGGGAUAGCAUGUGGACUGAUGAUGAAGAGCUUUCAGUUGGAUCUUGUUCUAGUCUUUCUAAAGUAGACCAAAAUAAAAUAAUGUCUCUAAGACUCUAUUACUCUCUCCAGUUUUUGUUGCCUAAAUAAUUAAAGGAAAUGGUUGUCACCAAUACAAUAGUUGUUAUCCUUAUAAGGUUAUUUUAAUAUUUUGGGCAUAUUUAUAUAUAUGUAACAUGUUUAUUUACAUUUGAAUGAUCUAAUGCAUUCAUUAAUGCCUUAUUUGAACUGGUGACAAUGACAUCUAGACAUCUUUUCUUGCAUUAUUAUAUUUAUGGGAGAGGGGAAAAAAUAUUAUUUUUCCAGUGUUGAAUAUUGGGAUGAUUUUGAGCUUCAUAAAGAGAAAAAAAAAGUUUCUCUUUGUUACAAAAGGAAAUAUUUUCUGUAACUGUAUUGAAAAUAGAUCUAGUUCAGAUUCUUUGAUUUCCUCUGAGUAGCUAUUACUUUGUUUCCUGGUGUUCCCUUUGGAGUUUCCCCUAAACCAAGAUAUGCUUAAUGUGGUCUGCUCAGAACUUAAUCAUACAGGGUUUUCAGAAUACACUUCCUAUCUCAUCUAAUUCAAAAUAUGACUUCAGAGUUGAAAUUUCCUGGCUUUUUGAAAGACAGAGCGAGGCUGGGGAGAAGGGUGGAAAUAAAUUGAAGAAAUGUUCUGAAGAUACUGCUGUCUUCCUCUUCAAUUGCUGUGACUCUAACCAUAAUUUAGGGGUUGCCCUCCCGCAAUCAGGCACUAAGCUUCUCAUUACAAAGACUUUGACUCUCCUGUAGUGUGCCUGUGGAAGGAAUUAUUUAGCACAGCAAGGCAAAAAAGGAUACUUCAAAGUUCAUUCUGAAUUCUAGAGGUAUCCAUAUUGCAUGCAAAUGGAAAUCUCAGAAGGUGAAGGAACUGACAUGUAAUCCCCAAAAUGCACAGCUCAGAGGUACUUGUUUCCUUACUGUCAAAAUGAUUUGCAAAUAAAUCUUAUUUUAUACCAC